GACGGAGGAUGCAAGUGUUAUCCGGAAUCACUGGGCGUAAAGCGUCUGUAGGUGGUUCGAAAAGUCCACUGUUAAAGAUUGAGGCUUAACCUCAAAAAUGCCGUGGAAACUUUCAAACUAGAGUAUGGUAGGGGUAGAGGGAAUUUCCAGUGGAGCGGUGAAAUGCGUAGAUAUUGGAAAGACCACCGAUGGCGAAGGCACUCUACUGGGCCAUUACUGACACUGAGAGACGAAAGCUAGGGGAGCAAAUGGG
rnacentral:rRNA from 1 species